rnacentral:rRNA from 1 species
AUUGAACGCUGGCGGCAGGCCUAACACAUGCAAGUCGAGCGGAUGAAGGGAGCUUGCUCCUGGAUUCAGCGGCGGACGGGUGAGUAAUGCCUAGGAAUCUGCCUGGUAGUGGGGGAUAACGUCCGGAAACGGGCGCUAAUACCGCAUACGUCCUGAGGGAGAAAGUGGGGGAUCUUCGGACCUCACGCUAUCAGAUGAGCCUAGGUCGGAUUAGCUAGUUGGUGGGGUAAAGGCCUACCAAGGCGACGAUCCGUAACUGGUCUGAGAGGAUGAUCAGUCACACUGGAACUGAGACACGGCCCAGACUCCUACGGGAGGCAGCAGUGGGGAAUAUUGGACAAUGGGCGAAAGCCUGAUCCAGCCAUGCCGCGUGUGUGAAGAAGGUCUUCGGAUUGUAAAGCACUUUAAGUUGGGAGGAAGGGCAGUAAGUUAAUACCUUGCUGUUUUGACGUUACCAACAGAAUAAGCACCGGCUAACUACGUG